AAAGCGGAGCACUCGCCGGCACCGCGGGUGCGGCCGCCCUGCUGCACCUUUGCUGUUGGGGCAGAGAGGAAGCAGCUAUUUCUACGCUCAGUGCUCGGAACCGUGGGCACUAAGAAUGGUUUGUAGCCGGACAUCA